rnacentral:rRNA from 1 species
GAUGAACGCUAGCUACAGGCUUAACACAUGCAAGUCGAGGGGCAGCAUGGUCUUAGCUUGCUAAGGCCGAUGGCGACCGGCGCACGGGUGAGUAACACGUAUCCAACCUGCCGUCUACUCUUGGACAGCCUUCUGAAAGGAAGAUUAAUACAAGAUGGCAUCAUGAGUCCGCAUGUUCACAUGAUUAAAGGUAUUCCGGUAGACGAUGGGGAUGCGUUCCAUUAGAUAGUAGGCGGGGUAACGGCCCACCUAGUCUUCGAUGGAUAGGGGUUCUGAGAGGAAGGUCCCCCACAUUGGAACUGAGACACGGUCCAAACUCCUACGGGAGGCAGCAGUGAGGAAUAUUGGUCAAUGGGGCGCAGGCCUGAACCAGCCAAGUAGCGUGAAGGAUGACUGCCCUAUGGGUUGUAAACUUCUUUUAUAAAGGAAUAAAGUCGGGUAUGUAUACCCGUUUGCAUGUACUUUAUGAAUAAGGAUCGGCUAACUCCGUGCCAG